CUACAGACGACCAGAAGAGGGCAGCCUUGGCCUUCCAAGAAAAGCUAACCAAGCUCCUCCCCCUGGGGUUCCUGAAGCAGAAAACUCUAGGCAGUGGGGUUUGGUCCUGUUCUUCACCCUAGACCUCGGGGACUGAAAGGAUCCUGCUCCUUUUCAUCCCACGUGGAGGCCCAGGGCACCGCAGGAAGAAGUGGGAAACGAGGACGUCCUGGCUCUGCUACCCACAGAUGGCUGACCCCAUGGUUUCCUCAACUGUAGAACGGCAGUCUCUCCCACUGUGUGCCUCACAGAGCUUCGUGGAAGACAUGCACAAAACGAGGUGUGCAAAGCAUGAACUAGCCCAAAGAUAAGAGGAAGCACCUCAUCUACCAUGAAAGGCAUUAACAUUCGGUCCCUGCUACAGGUUAACCUGCUCAUUCUGACCAUCCCGGCCAAGUGCACACCUCUCCCCAACCUGGAGUCGCUCCAGCCCUGUCAUCCUGCCCAGGACUCCAGGAGUCCUUUCUAGAACUCUCCUCACAACAUCCAGCCAUAUUACGCAACCAUUACUAACCACCAAGAAAAUAGUGCUAAUGACAAUAUCACAAAGCAGUGCCCACUGGACUUGCUCCCACCUCAGGGCCUUUGCACCUGCUGUUCCUGCUGCCUGAAAUGCCCUUUCCCUGGUUAUCUACCUGGCUUGAUCCCUUGGCUCUUUUGGGUCUGUAUUCAAAUCUCAGUGAACCAUUCCCUGGCCAAACUAUCUAAAAGUACAAUCCUCUCUCCCAACAUUCCUUACUUCCCUUUCCUGCUUUCUCUCUACAGCAUUUUCCAUCUAAAAUACUAAAUAUUUUCUUUAUUUCAUCUUUUUUUUUUUUUUUGUAAACAAGCUCCAUGAAGGAAGGGCUUUUGUUGUUUUAUUUUGUUCACUGCCAAAUCCCCAC
rnacentral:lncRNA from 1 species